UUGAACGCUGGCGGCAGGCCUAACACAUGCAAGUCGAACGGUAGCACAGAGAGCUUGCUCUCGGGUGACGAGUGGCGGACGGGUGAGUAAUGUCUGGGAAACUGCCUGAUGGAGGGGGAUAACUACUGGAAACGGUAGCUAAUACCGCAUAACGUCGCAAGACCAAAGAGGGGGACCUUCGGGCCUCUUGCCAUCAGAUGUGCCCAGAUGGGAUUAGCUAGUAGGUGGGGUAACGGCUCACCUAGGCGACGAUCCCUAGCUGGUCUGAGAGGAUGACCAGGCACACUGUAACUGAGACACGGUCCAGACGCCGACGGGAGGCAGCAGUGGGGAAUAUUGCACAAUGGGCGCAAGCCUGAUGCAGCCAUGCCGCGUGUAUGAAGAAGGCCUUCGGGUUGUAAAGCACUUUCAGCGGGGAGGAAGGCGGUGAGGUUAAUAACCUCAUCGAUUGACGUUACCCGCAGAAGAAGCACCGGCUAACUCCGUGC
rnacentral:rRNA from 1 species